rnacentral:miRNA from 1 species
UACACACAUGGUAUAAACCCACUGUGAUAUGAGGAGCAAUAUCUCUCUAGGAUAUUAUGAGUAAUAUCACAGUGGGUGUACACAAAUGCUGUA